AUUGAACGCUGGCGGCAUGCUUUACACAUGCAAGUCGAACGGUAACAGGCCUUCGGGUGCUGACGAGUGGCGAACGGGUGAGUAAUGCAUCGGAACGUACCCAGAGGUGGGGGAUAACGCAGCGAAAGCUGUGCUAAUACCGCAUGUGAUCUGAGGAUGAAAGCGGGGGACCGAGCAGCAAUGUUUGGCCUCGCGCCUUUGGAGCGGCCGAUGUCGGAUUAGCUGGUUGGUGGGGUAAAGGCCUACCAAGGCGACGAUCCGUAGCUGGUCUGAGAGGACGACCGGCCACACUGGGACUGAGACACGGCCCAGGGUCCUACGGGAGGCAGCAGUGGGGAAUUGUGGACAGUGGGCGCAAGCCUGAUCCAGCGAUGCCGCGUGCGGGAAGAAGGCCUUCGGGUUGUAAACCGCUUUUGGCAGUAACGAAACGGUGUCCGCUAAUACCGGGCGCUAAUGACGGUACCUGCAGAAUAAGCACCGGCUAACUACGUG
rnacentral:rRNA from 1 species